UUUGUCUGUCUUUGAGGAGGUAUUAGAGGAGACACAGAAAUUGAGGGACAAAAGGCAGAUGAAUGUAGCAAUGGUACUCACUGGACACUAUGUUGAAAAUGAACUAUACAACCUGUGGGUGGGAUCAGAGGGAAAAACUGGGAG